UGGGGAAUAUUGCACAAUGGGCGAAAGCCUGAUGCAGCAACGCCGCGUGAGUGAUGAAGGUCUUCGGAUUGUAAAGCUCUGUCUUUUGGGACGAUAAUGACGGUACCAAAGGAGGAAGCCACGGCUAACUACGUGCCAGCAGCCGCGGUAAUACGUAGGUGGCGAGCGUUGUCCGGAUUUACUGGGCGUAAAGGGUGCGUAGGCGGAUGUUUAAGUGAGAUGUGAAAUACCCGGGCUUAACUUGGGUGCUGCAUUUCAAACUGGAUAUCUAGAGUGCAGGAGAGGAGAAUGGAAUUCCUAGUGUAGCGGUGAAAUGCGUAGAGAUUAGGAAGAACACCAGUGGCGAAGGCGAUUCUCUGGACUGUAACUGACGCUGAGGCACGAAAGCGUGGGUAGCAAACAGGAUUAGAUACCCUGGUAGUCCAC
rnacentral:rRNA from 1 species